GGAUAGCUCAGUCAGUAGAGCACAAGUCUCUUAAUCACAGGGUCGUGGCUUCAAGCCCCACAUUGGACA